CAUGGGUGUAUUUACCUGGACAGACCAGCAUGAUACCGAAUGUCCAAGUCUGGUGUGAGGGCAAGAGGAAACUCCGGGUAACUGUCACCCCGACCUGGAGUCAAGGGAGAUUUCCCUGUCAACCCCUAGAACAUGACAGCUAUAGCACGUGAUGGCAACAAUACAAUGAUGUCACAACAACAAUUCAAUGACUCGCGGCAACAAUACAAUGACGUCACUUCGACUAUUCAAUCACGUCACAUCAAACAUUGUAAUGCAAUGUACUGCACGGAGGAUAUCAACCCUCGGUGGUUCUUUGUAAAAAAAAAAAAGGACGGAAUUGGUAUUGGGAUUCAACCCCUGUCACAUUGAUAGAGGUGCCCUACUGAGACUAUAUGUGAAUAAACGUGAUAAGAAGGAACUGCA